GCCGUCAUAGCUCAGCUGGUAGAGCACCUGACUUGUAAUCAGGGGGUCGAGGGUUCAAAUCCUUCUGGCGGCACCA
rnacentral:tRNA from 1 species